CUAAAAAUGGCAGAGCAACUAGAAACAACCACCUUGGUCUCUGACACCAUGGAGUCAUUACACCAAUCCUGGCAUUCUGAGACCAACUUAGCUGUUGUUUCUCUUCGAUGAGUCUUCAACUUUAUACUUAAGAAUCAAGCAUUUCGCUGGAAUAUGUCUGCAUUAAGUCAUGAAAGAAGAGGGUUGACCAGUUAUUCUCCGAGGUCCUUUUCAGUGUCGCUCGUCAAGGACUGGUAAUGUUGAGACCACUCCAUUCGGGUGUUGGAAAGGAGUUGAUAACAGUUUCCAGUACUGAAGAGUCUUAACAUACCCAGUUUUGUAACCGGAAAAAAAUGACCCUGCAUGAUUAAGGGCGAAAUUCACUAGUCUUCCAGUUGAGUGUAGAGUCUACGUUUUUAACCUCUGAGACAUGCCUGGAAGUAGAACUAAGUGUGAUUCUUCAUGUAAAGACCACAAGGAAGAGAAAAAAUUGGAUUUCCCAAACUUGAUAGAGGUUUCUCAACUCUGAGCUGUUUGGAUAUAAUUUGCUUGAAGCUGUCAUGGCCACACAUCACUCUGUCCUUGGGGAAUGUAACAGAUAUGCGUCAUCCAACUACAUCUGAUGAGAAGUUCAGAAAAGGAAGUUGGUGAAGCUAUCAUUGACUUCUAAGUCAAGGUCCAAGCUGUCAGAAAACAAGUGGGAAAAUUGUAUCCACAGACAAAUCCAUGGAGGACUUUUAGGUUCCAGCGGACAUGGCCUGGUUCCCACUCAGAAGUCUUGGGUCUGGGUCUCAAUUAACUAGGCAGUAUUUGAAAGUCACUGUAUUUUUUUGAUUUUCAGUUUCCUCAUCUGUAGAAUGGAUUAACAUCUGCUCUCUCUAUCUCCUAAAGUUAAUCUGAGAUGCGAAUGAAAUCACAUAUAUGAGAAUACUCACAUAAAUGUUAUUUUAAUUUGCUUUAUGUGUGUGUGUUUUGCCUUCUAAACAAUGUUUCUUCCAGGUAAGGAUAUGUAUGCUUGGGAUGUGUACCUACCAAAAUGCCUGGCACAAGGUGUUUGUGAAAUAUUUGUUGAAUGUUUGUUAAAUGGAUGUUGAAUCUGAAUGAAACUGAAACAAUUUUGAAAAACUAUAGUUUGGAAGAGGUAACAAUAAAAUAUAUCAAAAUGUG
ensembl:lncRNA